AUUGAACGCUGGCGGCAUGCUUUACACAUGCAAGUCGAACGGCAGCGCGGGCUUCGGCCUGGCGGCGAGUGGCGAACGGGUGAGUAAUGCAUCGGAACGUGCCCAGUAGUGGGGGAUAGCCCGGCGAAAGCCGGAUUAAUACCGCAUACGACCUGAGGGUGAAAGCGGGGGACCGAAAGGCCUCGCGCUAUUGGAGCGGCCGAUGUCGGAUUAGCUAGUUGGUGGGGUAAAGGCUUACCAAGGCGACGAUCCGUAGCUGGUCUGAGAGGACGACCAGCCACACUGGGACUGAGACACGGCCCAGACUCCUACGGGAGGCAGCAGUGGGGAAUUUUGGACAAUGGGGGCAACCCUGAUCCAGCCAUGCCGCGUGCGGGAAGAAGGCCUUCGGGUUGUAAACCGCUUUUGUUCGGGAAGAAAUCCUCUGGGCUAAUACCCCGGGAGGAUGACGGUACCGGAAGAAUAAGCACCGGCUAACUACGUG
rnacentral:rRNA from 1 species